AUGUGUCGCAACAAUUUGGUGCAGUCUGAGAAUUUAAUCUUGAAGUUGGUUCCUGUCUUGGGUAUGUACUCUGAUAACUACUUUGUGAAACUACCUAGGAGGGUCAGUGGAUAUUCUGGUUUGGAUUGGGUGCAGGAGACACUAGCCCGAGAUACCCAAUGCUAUAACAUGUUUAGGGUUGAGAGACCUUUGUUUAACCGGCUACAUAAUACUUUGGUGCAAUUAUAUGGCUUGAAGUCCACUUCAAAAAUGACAUCUGUAGAGGCUCUAGCUAUGUUUUUAUGGAUUGUUGGAUCACCAUAG
rnacentral:rRNA from 1 species